AACGCCUGUCGCGGAUCUCCUCCCUUCCCCUGGAGCAGAUCCACCGGGGCCGGACUCCUCCCCAAGUCCGGCUCCCCGCCCCGCCCGGCUCCCCCUGCCCGGCGGGGCUUUUUU
rnacentral:sRNA from 1 species